CAAUAGCGUAUAUUAAAGUUGUUGCAGUUAAAAAGCUCGUAGUUGGAUUUCUGGUCGGAAGCUCCUGUCCUCUGAUGAGCGUACAAGUGCGUCCUACCAUCCUUCUGUUAACCUUUAAGGCUUUCGCGGCUUUCUAGGGGCUCAGAUAUUUUACCUUGAGAAAAUUAGAGUGUUUCGGGCAGGCUAGCGCCGGAAUACAUUAGCAUGGAAUAAUGGAAUAGGACUUUUGCCUCUUCUGUUGGUCAUGAGGCUCGAGUAAUGAUUAAUAGGGAUAGUUGGGGGCAUUAGUACUUAACUGUCAGAGGUGAAAUUCUCGGAUUUGUUAAAGACUAACUUAUGCGAAAGCAUUUGCCAAGGAUGUUUNCAUUA
rnacentral:rRNA from 1 species